rnacentral:rRNA from 1 species
GAUGAACGCUGGCGGCGUGCCUAAUACAUGCGAGUCGAGCGAACAGACGAGGAGCUUGCUCCUCUGACGUUAGCGGCGGACGGGUGAGUAACACGUGGAUAACCUCCCUAUAAUACUGGGAUCACUUCGGGAAACCGGAGCUAAUACCGGAUAAUAUAUUGAACCGCAUGGUUCAAUAGUGAAAGUCGGUUUUUCUGUCACUUCUAGCUGCAUCUGCGCCGCAUUAGCUAGUUGGUAAGGUAACGGCUUACCAAGGCAACGAUGCGUAGCCGACGUGAGAGGGUGGUCGGCCACACUGGAACUGAGACACGGUCCAGACGCCUGCGGGAGGCAGCAGUAGGGAAUCUUCCGCAAUGGGCGAAAGCCUGACGGAGCAACGCCGCGUGAGUGAUGAAGGUCUUCGGAUCGUAAAACUCUGUUAUUAGGGAAGAACAAAUGUGUAAGUAACUAUGCACGUCUUGACGGUACCUAAUCAGAAAGCCACGGCUAACUACGUG